rnacentral:rRNA from 1 species
CAGCCGCCGCGGGAAUACGGAGGGUGCAAGCGUUAAUCGGAAUUACUGGGCGUAAAGCGCACGCAGGCGGUUUGUUAAGUCAGAUGUGAAAUCCCCGAGCUUAACUUGGGAACUGCAUUUGAAACUGGCAAGCUAGAGUCUUGUAGAGGGGGGUAGAAUUCCAGGUGUAGCGGUGAAAUGCGUAGAGAUCUGGAGGAACACCGGUGGCGAAGGCGGCCAUCUGGGACAACACUGACGCUGAAGCACGAAAGCGUGGGGAGCAAACCGGAUUAGAUACCCGCGUAGUCCCUGUCUCUUAUAC